AAUUAACCAGCACGGGCGUAGGAUUUUAUCCACGCCCGUGCACGCAUGUUAAGGGCAGGAUCAAUAAC
rnacentral:sRNA from 11 species